UCGAUGAAAACGGGAGGCGCGUGUAACACACGCAAAUGUAAAGAUGAAGCGCAGCGUUUGCUGUGGAUUAGUGGCGAAAACGUGAGUAACACAUGAGUGACACGCCCCNGAGUCUGUGAUAUGCGCGUGAAACAGGGUGUAUUACAGGAUAUGACACCUUACAGCACGGUGGAGGGUGGAAAGAGCUUGUGGUUUUGGAUGGAGUCUCGGCGUAUCUGAGCGUUGGUGGGGUAAUAGCGUAUCACAGCGAUGAGGCGUAGCGGGCGCGAGAGGGUGACAGGCCACACAGGGAGUGUGACACGGCCCAGAGUCUUAUGGGAGGCACCACUGGGGAAUAUUGCACACAAGGCGCAAGCGCGAUGCGGAGAGGCCGCGUGAGAGAUGAGGGCGCUUUGGUGGUAAACAUCUUUCUGUAGGGAAGAAGCGGCAAGGUGACGGUACCUGCAGAAGAAGCGCCGGCUAACUACGUGCCAGCAGCCGCGGUAAUACGUAGGGCGCAAGCGUUAUCCGGAAUUAUUGGGCGUAAAGAGCUCGUAGGCGGUUUGUCGCGUCUGCUGUGAAAGACCGGGGCUCAACUCCGGUUCUGCAGUGGGUACGGGCAGGCUAGAGUGAUGUAGGGGAGACUGGAAUUCCUGGUGUAGCGGUGAAAUGCGCAGAUAUCAGGAGGAACACCGAUGGCGAAGGCAGGUCUCUGGGCAUUAACUGACGCUGAGGAGCGAAAGCAUGGGGAGCGAACAGGAUUAGAUACCCUGGUAGUCCAUGCCGUAAACGUUGGGCACUAGGUGUGGGGAGCAUUCCACGUUUUCCGCGCCGUAGCUAACGCAUUAAGUGCCCCGCCUGGGGAGUACGGCCGCAAGGCUAAAACUCAAAGGAAUUGACGGGGGCCCGCACAAGCGGCGGAGCAUGCGGAUUAAUUCGAUGCAACGCGAAGAACCUUACCAAGGCUUGACAUGGACUAGACCGGGCUGGAAACAGUCUUUCCCUUCGGGGCUGGUUCACAGGUGGUGCAUGGUUGUCGUCAGCUCGUGUCGUGAGAUGUUGGGUUAAGUCCCGCAACGAGCGCAACCCUCGUUCCAUGUUGCCAGCACGUGAUGGUGGGGACUCAUGGGAGACUGCCGGGGUCAACUCGGAGGAAGGUGGGGACGACGUCAAAUCAUCAUGCCCCUUAUGUCUUGGGCUUCACGCAUGCUACAAUGGCCGGUACAAAGGGUUGCGAUACUGUGAGGUGGAGCUAAUCCCAAAAAGCCGGUCUCACUUCGGAUUGGGGUCUGCAACUCGACCCCAUGAACUCGGAGUCUCUAGUAAUCUCACAUCAACAACGCUGCGCCGAAUACAUUCCCUUGCCUUGUACACGNNGCCCAUCACGUCACAAGGGGGGGCUAUUAAACGCAAUGGUGUGGGGCGAGAACUUG
rnacentral:rRNA from 1 species